rnacentral:rRNA from 1 species
UACGUAGGGGGCGAGCGUUGUCCGGAUUUAUUGGGCGUAAAGAGCGUGUAGGCGGCCAGGUAGGUCCGUUGUGAAAACUCGAGGCUCAACCUCGAGACGUCGGCGGAAACCCUCUGGCUAGAGUCCGGAAGAGGAGAGUGGAAUUCCUGGUGUAGCGGUGAAAUGCGCAGAUAUCAGGAAGAACACCCGUGGCGAAGGCGGCUCCCUGGGACGGUACUGACGCUGAGACGCGAAAGCGUGGGGAGCAAACAGG